rnacentral:rRNA from 1 species
UACGUAGGGGGCAAGCGUUGUCCGGAUUUAUUGGGCGUAAAGAGCGUGUAGGCGGCCAGACAGGUCAGCUGUGAAAACUCGAGGCUCAACCUCGAGACGUCGGUUGAAACCGUCUGGCUAGAGUCCGGAAGAGGAGAGUGGAAUUCCCGGGUGUAGCGGUGAAAUGCGCAGAUAUCGGGAAGAACACCCGUGGCGAAGGCGGCUCUCUGGGACGGUACUGACGCUGAGGUGCGAAAGCGUGGGGAGCAAACAGG